AAAAAUGGAGAUGAGAUAAAAAGCAUUUUCCUAAGUCAAAGACUCAUGCCAUAAUGAGAUACUCAAAGAAAGAAAAAUUGAGUGAAGAAAAAAAAAGAAAAAGAGUCAAGUUGGGCAACACCCCAUGAAAUAAAUUGUGUACAAAGAAUAGAAACAACAUGAAUGCCGAGUUUUAAACCCCUUGUCACCCAUUUCCUUGUAUUU
rnacentral:lncRNA from 1 species